GUCUGAUUUAAGAAAGAAUGCUUACUGAGUCAGUACAACUUUACAUCUUUAGUGACUUUCUGUUAAUUUACAUGUGGAUGAAAAUUCACCUAAUGAAGUAAAAGACUCCUUGACACUUGAAUUUACUUAAAAACUUCUAUAGUGGACCAUGGCACUGUUUGGCCCAACCGCAGAGGAUUUUCCUGUACACAGCUGCUCCUUUCUAAAGCCAUGCUAGGAAGAGACCAGUUUCGAGCAGGGAUUGGGGAAGUAUCCCAAGUGAGACCACACCCAGGGUAAUUAGAAAAUGCAAGAAAAAAGUCAGAGAUGCAUUUUGACCUUUUGUUACCUCCUUCUUUAGGAGCAACAAUGGAAAAUAUUUAUAAUUAAUACAGAAAUCUAUUUAAGAAGGUCAGGAGUUUCUGAUAUCAUGUGUUCAAUGUUUGGCCAAUGGAAAGAGACAUGAGGAAGUGCUAGUCAGGGCUCAGGUGUGGAGGGUUUUCCCAUAGCAACAUUAUACUCAAAUGCUUUAUGUCUGAGCAUCACUUCUUCCCCUAAAAAUAAAAAGUAGUAUGCUCUCUUCUUCCUUUUUUUUCCUAAUCACUAUUACCAAAGUAUCAGUCAGAACCACACAUACUUUGUUUGCUGCCUUUAAAAAAAAAUUCCAUAUCAUUUGAAUAUAAACACAAUUUACUUAGCUGCAUAUGAUUGAAAUAUUUGCAUGAUGGUUUAUAAAUUAUGACCUAAAAGUUUUUAAAAAUAGUAUGAGCAUAACAUUUUAGUGCUCGAACAUUAUUACAUGUUCUUUGUAUCUGGGAUUCAUGGAGAAGGCUGUGAAUAUCUUUUCUUUUGCUGUCAUAUGCCAUUUUCUUGGAUGUGUAAAGACAUCUUGGUUUUGAAAUUUACAAAACCACUUUCAUCCUGAGCCUGCUUCCCUUUACUUUUCCCUCUCACCAAGUAUUGACUCCAACAUUAUAGUUUCUAGAGCUAAAUCUUUUGAAAUAUCCCCCCUCAAAAUCACAUCCACCCAUUUCACCCACACUGUCUCUCUCUUUCAAAAUACACCCACACUGACAGCUCUUCUAACCAUCAUCAGUACACUCGGCCAAGAUUCUCCUUUCUUAUGCCCUUAGCUGCUAGAGUCAAUUAUCAAAACAUUAGCUAACAUAAGCCUUCUAAAAUGUAAGCACUCAUUAUACUCUUCUCAAAACCCUUGGAAAGAACAAAACCCGAAGUCCUUACAAACAUGUAUGAGGAGAGUAGAUAUGAAGUCAUUAAGCACCAGUGUAUCAGAAUAGCAUAUUUUUUGAUUGGGCUGGCAUUUUUACCUAUAGGAGGCAAAAGAAGUGUUAAAUACUUUUAUAUUUUGUUUCUAAAGACCUCUCUCCUGGCUGUGACUUUUCUUACACCAUCUCUUAAGAAUAGCUCCUUUAUUAUUCUUAAGAAGAGCUCAAGAUUAUGGCGAAUCUUAGUGUUCGAUGAGCCUGCCAAAUGCACCUCUGCUUCAAGACUUUCACUCUUCUAUAGUCUUUAUAUUUCUCCCAGAUAUCUACAUAGCUCAUUCCCUCAUCUCCUUCAGGUCUACGUUCAAUUUUCUCCUUCUUAGUGAGAUCUCUCUCUUCUAAUUUAAAAUGAAAGAGCCCUAUAGUUGUUCAUAUUCUCCUUUUUUGCUCUAUUCAUUCUCCAUAGUAUUAAUCACCAGAUACACCACAUAGCUCAUCCACUUAUCUUACUUAACAUCUCUGUCCUAUAGAAUAUGAACCCCACAAGAGCAGGGAUUUUUGUCAGUCUGUUUACUCAUGCAUUACCAGUGCCUUGAAUAGUGCCUGGAACAUAGUAGCAGAUCCAAAAAAGAUUUCAUCAAAAUUUUAAUUGGUUUCUUCAAGUUACACUAUACAGUAACCAAUAACAUACAUUUAAGAGGAACUUUUGUAGUUUGUUUUUUUAACUUAAAAAAAUCUUAUUCCUCUUUCAAAGGGAAAACCUGCCUCUGAAAAUGAUGAAAUCAUGAACCAGAAAUUAUGUCUUCCUCUCUCUAAAUCUGAUCUCUAUCCCAGGGCCUAACUUCUACAUUUUUUUUUCCAGGUUUAUCUUUGAAAAUGACUCUAAAGUAAUUGGGCCCUAUACCCAUCAUGCACAUAGCUUAUAUUUAUUCUUUGAGACUAGAAUCUUCAUGUAGAACAUCAUUUUGAGAUCAAAACCAUACUGAAUUGCUCUUUGUUGAAUAUUCCAGUUCAUUUCAAAUUUAAAAGUUGCCAUGAGUUAAAGACCAUAAUUCCUCCAACAUUAGAAGCUAGUUUAAAAACUAUGCCAUAUAGUUAGUUACUUUACUGUAAAGGAGAAAACAAGGAUGUGGAAAAGGAGAAGAAGGAGGAGAAGGAACAGAAAUUAUGAUCAUUCCCUUUGAGUCAUAAUUAUAAGAUGAAUAGGAAAUUAUUUUGGUGUUUUAAAGAUCUAUCCAUAAUCUAGAAAUAUAUAUGUUGGAGCCAUUUAGUCUAUAAAUCCUUUUAACAGAAGUCUCAUAUCAAAUGGGUUUUAUAUUUCACAUAUAUUUUUAGUUUGAAAAUCUAUAGUUCUGAUGUACAAUAACAGGCAUUGUUUACCCUCAUAAUAUUCUAACUGGAUUCCCAACUUCCUUCUCCUCUUUAAUUCUAGAUAUACUUUUUAGAAUUUUACAGUCUUAUUUGUUACUCUCACCUAUCUCCAUAGUUUUAUUUCCUACCACUUGUUCUGUAUUCUCCAUAUUUUUACUAAUUAAAUAUCCUAGAUACUGAUUUUUGGAUGAGGGGUUUCAGAUUUUCAUCCUUCACUGUUUAUCUUUUUGUUCUUACCAACCCUUAUAUUUCUUUUACUCGCCUACAUUUUUGUGCCUUUCCCUCAAUGUGAUAGCUCAGACCUUCAGUUUUCAUCUCCUACCAGGCCUUCUGUGAAAAAGACACUGAAAAUAAAGACUUGGCAGGCGGUCCUGAUGAAGGAAGCUCAACCUGAAGAUUAAGGAUAGAUGUUUGAAAAAGUUUUCAGAAGUCAACCAGACUUUCAGUGGCUUUAGGAUCUAAGGGGUUUCACCUUGAGUAUUUCAUAGGAUGUCAAUAAUCAGUUUCACUUGUGUGCAUUGUCAUUCACAAGGAAUACACGGCAAUCAGGGUCAAAAGAUACUUUGGGAAAACCUUCUCUAGAGAAGAGUUUAAUGGCUCUUGCUCAGGAAAAAGGCAGAAUUUUCUUGUGUUUCUUACUAUUUGAUCCUUGACAGUCUGUAUGAUGGAAGCCAUUUCCCUCUGUGAUGUCCUUUUCAUUGCCAGCGUUUAAGAAUGCGUUUAGCAUCACUUCAGAAAUAACGAGUUCAAGCUCAAGUAUACACAGUACAUGGAAGAUACUGCCAUUCAUUGUCUCUUUUACUGAAUUUUGUUUCUUUUUAUAAUUAUCUUUAUGUUUGAAUCCUAAGAAUAUGUUCUUUGGUGAAUUUUAUUAAUUACAUCCCCUUCUAAUGGAUUUAAAUUUUUUCCAAACCAGGUCACUGUUUAUUAUGUUAUUAAAAUGAUAAUAUUUCAUUUCCUAUUCAAAAAGAAACUAUUUUGUUGUCUUUGCUGAUUUGUGAGGAUGAAUGGAGUUCUAUUAAAUAAAAUGUCACUAAAUGAAAUUCUGGAUUUGCAAAUAUUGGGGUGUGUAUGUGUCUACACAGUUUUUCAUCAGA
rnacentral:lncRNA from 1 species